AGCGAACGCUGGCGGCAUGCUUAACACAUGCAAGUCGCGCGGGGGGCUUCGGCCCUCAGCGGCGGACGGGUGAGGAGCGCGUAGGAACGUGCCCUGUGGUGGGGGACAACCCUGGGAAACCGGGGCUAAUACCGCAUAUGGCCCCAUGGGAGACUGUGGGGUCAAAGCCGGCGCGAGCCGGCGCCAUGGGAGCGGCCUGCGUCCGAUUAGGUAGUUGGCGGGGUAACGGCCCACCAAGCCUGCGAUCGGUAGCUGGUCUGAGAGGACGACCAGGCAAACUGGGACUGGGAGACGGCCCAGACUCCUACGGGAGGCAGCAGUGGGGAAUAUUGGGCAAUGGGCGGAAGCCUGACCCAGCAAGGCCGCGUGGGUGAAGAAGGUCGUCGGAUUGUAAAGCCCUUUCGGCGGGGACGAUGAUGACGGUACCCGCAGAAGAAGCCCCGGCCAACUUCGUGCCAGCCGCCGCAGUAAUAC
rnacentral:rRNA from 1 species